rnacentral:rRNA from 1 species
UUCAACGGAGAGUUUGAUCCUGGCUCAGGACGAACGCUGGCGGCGUGCUUAACACAUGCAAGUCGAGCGGUAAGGCCUUUCGGGGUACACGAGCGGCGAACGGGUGAGUAACACGUGGGUGAUCUGCCCUGCACUUCGGGAUAAGCCUGGGAAACUGGGUCUAAUACCGGAUAUGACCUCCUAUCGCAUGGUGGGUGGUGGAAAGAUUUAU